rnacentral:rRNA from 1 species
AGAGUUUGAUCCUGGCUCAGGAUGAGCGCUGGCAGCGUGCUUAACACAUGCAAGUCGAACGAACCUUCGGGUUAGUGGCGGACGUGUGAGUAACGCGUGGGAAUCUGCCCUCAGGAGGGGGAUAACGGCUGGAAACGGCCGCUAAUACCCCAUAUGCCGAGAGGUGAAAAGAAAUUCGCCUGAGGAUGAGCCCGCGUCCGAUUAGCUAGUUGGUGGGGUAAGAGCUCACCAAGGCGACGAUCAGUAGCUGGUCUGAGAGGAUGAUCAGCCACACUGGGACUGAGACACGGCCCAGACUCCUACGGGAGGCAGCAGUGGGGAAUUUUCCGCAAUGGGCGAAAGCCUGACGGAGCAACGCCGCGUGAGGGAUGAAGGCCUCUGGGCUGUAAACCUCUUUUCUCAAGGAAGAAGACAUGACGGUACUUGAGGAAUAAGCCACGGCUAAUUCCGUGCCAGCAGCCGCGGUAAUACGGGAGUGGCAAGCGUUAUCCGGAAUUAUUGGGCGUAAAGCGUCCGCAGGCGGCCCUGUAAGUCUGUCGUUAAAGCGUGGAGCUUAACUCCAUUUAAGCGAUGGAAACUACAGGGCUUGAGUGUGGUAGGGGCAGAGGGAAUUCCCGGUGUAGCGGUGAAAUGCGUAGAUAUCGGGAAGAACACCAGUGGCGAAGGCGCUCUGCUGGGCCAUAACUGACGCUCAUGGACGAAAGCCAGGGGAGCGAAAGGGAUUAGAUACCCCUGUAGUCCUGGCCGUAAACGAUGAACACUAGGUGUCGGGGGAAUCGACCCCCUCGGUGUCGUAGCCAACGCGUUAAGUGUUCCGCCUGGGGAGUACGCACGCAAGUGUGAAACUCAAAGGAAUUGACGGGGGCCCGCACAAGCGGUGGAGUAUGUGGUUUAAUUCGAUGCAACGCGAAGAACCUUACCAGGGUUUGACAUCCUGCGAAUCCCUUGGAAACGAGGGAGUGCCUUCGGGAGCGCAGAGACAGGUGGUGCAUGGCUGUCGUCAGCUCGUGUCGUGAGAUGUUGGGUUAAGUCCCGCAACGAGCGCAACCCACGUCUUUAGUUGCCAGCAUUCAGUUGGGCACUCUAGAGAGACCGCCGGUGAUAAACCGGAGGAAGGUGUGGAUGACGUCAAGUCAUCAUGCCCCUUACAUCCUGGGCUACACACGUACUACAAUGCUACGGACAAAGGGCAGCAAGCUCGCGAGAGUUAGCAAAUCCCAUAAACCGUGGCUCAGUUCAGAUCGUAGGCUGCAACUCGCCUACGUGAAGGAGGAAUCGCUAGUAAUCGCAGGUCAGCAUACUGCGGUGAAUACGUUCCCGGGCCUUGUACACACCGCCCGUCACACCAUGGAAGUUGGCCAUGCCCGAAGUCGUUACUCCAACCCUUGUGGAGGAGGACGCCGAAGGUGGGGCUGAUGACUGGGGUGAAGUCGUAACAAGGUA